rnacentral:rRNA from 1 species
GACGAACGCUGGCGGCGUGCUUAACACAUGCAAGUCGAACGGAAAGGCCCUGCUUUUGUGGGGUGCUCGAGUGGCGAACGGGUGAGUAACACGUGAGUAACCUGCCCUUGACUUUGGGAUAACUUCAGGAAACUGGGGCUAAUACCGGAUAGGAGCUCCUGCUGCAUGGUGGGGGUUGGUAAGUUUCGGCGGUUGGGGAUGGACUCGCGGCUUAUCAGCUUGUUGGUGGGGUAGUGGCUUACCAAGGCUUUGACGGGUAGCCGGCCUGAGAGGGUGACCGGCCACAUUGGGACUGAGAUACGGCCCAGACUCCUACGGGAGGCAGCAGUGGGGAAUAUUGCAAAAUGGGCGGAAGCCUGAUGCAGCAACGCCGCGUGCGGGAUGACGGCCUUCGGGUUGUAAACCGCUUUCGCCUGUGACGAAGCGUGAGUGACGGUAAUGGGUAAAGAAGCACCGGCUAACUACGUG